rnacentral:rRNA from 1 species
UACGUAGGGUGCAAGCGUUGUCCGGAAUUAUUGGGCGUAAAGAGCUCGUAGGCGGUUUGUCGCGUCGACUGUGAAAACCCGAGGCUUAACCUCGGGCCUGCAGUCGAUACGGGCAGACUAGAGUGUGGUAGGGGAGAUCGGAAUUCCUGGUGUAGCGGUGAAAUGCGCAGAUAUCAGGAGGAAUACCGAUGGCGAAGGCAGGUCUCGUGGGCUGACACUGACGCUCAUGCACGAAAGCGUGGGGAGCAAACAGG